ACUUUAGGUCUUUUCUGUUCUCUCUUGAGCUGCUUUAGAUAUAAAGUUAGCUUGUUUAUUUUGAGCUUUUUAUUUUUUCCUGAGGUGGGCUUGUAUUGCUAUAAACUUUCCUCUUAGAAUGGCUUUUGCUGCAUCCCAUAGGUUUUGGAGUGUCAUAUAUUCGUUGUCAUUUGCUUCUAGGUAUUUUUUAAUUUCCUCUUUGAUUUCUUCAGUGAUCCAUUGGUUGGAUCUAGAGGUGAUGUUUUUGGUAAACAGGCGGGGUUUGUGUUUGCCGAGUUCCUUUUACUUCUUUUAAUCUUUCCUUGGUGCACUCCUGUGUUGGGUUAACAAUAUAAUUAAUAAACGUUUUAGUGUUAUUUUGGUUUAUUGGUUGUUAAUUAUCAGUAUAUUAUUAGUUACUGAUGUAAGCGUGUGCGAGGAGAAAGGCUUCUUGUUACUCAUAUUAACAUUAUUGCUUCUAUGUUUCAAUAGAUUAGUCCGAUAUUGGGCUAGGAGUUUGCUAUUAGUUAUUGGAAUUAUAUUGGUGGGUUUGUUGAGCUUUAACGCUUUCUCAAUUGAUGGCUGCUUUUAGGCCUACUAUGGUAGUAUUAAGAUUUUACUCUCUAGUCAAGGUUUUACCCGUUUCUAAAAAGCUGUACCUUUUUAGACUAUCUCUUAAAAAUACAUUGGAAUUUAAGGUUUUUGCUGAAUUGGCAAGAGUUGGUAAGGUCUAUCGGGGUUUAUCGAUUAUAGAACAGGCUCCUCUAGGUAGAUGUGAAGCACCGCCAAGUCCUUUGAGUUUUAGGCUGUUGCGAGUAGUACUCUGGCGAAUAGUUUUGUUAUAUAACUAUUUGGGCAUGUUGUUGAGUCUCCAUGUGUUUGUGUUUUUUGCAGUUUUUUUCUUGUUGAUUUCUGGUCGUAUAACAUUGUGGUCAGAAAAGAUGCUUGAUAUGAUUUCAAUUUUCUUAAUGUUACUGAGCUUGGACUUGUAGCUCAGGAUGUUAUCAAUCUUAGAGAAUGUUCCAUGUGCACUUGAGAAGAAUGUGUAUUCUGUUGCUUUUGGAUAGAAUGUCCUAUAAAUAUCUAUUAAGUCCAUCUGGUCUAAUGCUUCAUUCAGGACCUGUGUUUCCUUAUUGAUUUUCUGACUGGUUGAUCUGUCCAUUGCUGUAAGUGGGGUGUUAAAGUCCCCCACUAUGAUUGUGUUAUUGGCGAUUUGUCUUUUUAAGGUUGUUAGCAGUUACCUUAUAUAUUGUGGUGAACCUGUGUUGGGUGCAUAGAUAUUUAAAAUUGUUAUAUCUUCUUCUUGGAUUGAUCCUUUGAUAAUUAUGUAAUGUCCUUCCUUGUCCCUGAAAAUAUUCUUCAGUCUAUUUUGUCUGAUAUGAGAAUUGCUACUCCAGCUUUCUUUUGAUCCCCGUUUGCAUGAAAUAUUUUCUUCCAUC
rnacentral:lncRNA from 1 species